CGCAUAUAUGUGAUAGGUCUGGAGCAGUACUGUCUCUUGCUAAGAUUUCCAUUAUGAAUGCAAGAAAAACAUGCCCUCAUGAUUUCUGUCUCUCUGUGGCAGCCAAGAUUGAGGGAAUAUAGGA
rnacentral:snoRNA from 1 species